rnacentral:rRNA from 1 species
GACGAACCGUGCAAACGUUGUUCGGAAUCACUGGGCUUAAAGGGCGCGUAGGCGGCUCGCCAAGUCGGGGGUGAAAUCUUUCGGCUCAACCGGAAAAGUGCCUUCGAUACUGGCGGGCUGGAGGGAGGUAGGGGCAUGUGGAACUUCCGGUGGAGCGGUGAAAUGCGUUGAUAUCGGAAGGAACGCCGGUGGCGAAAGCGACGUGCUGGACCUCUUCUGACGCUGGAGGCGCGAAAGCUAGGGGAGCGAACGGG